rnacentral:rRNA from 1 species
AUGAAGGACGUGCUAAUCUGCGAUAAGCGUCGGUAAGGUGAUAUGAACCGUUAUAACCGGCGAUUUCCGAAUGGGGAAACCCAGUGUGUUUCGACACACUAUCAUUAACUGAAUCCAUAGGUUAAUGAGGCGAACCGGGGGAACUGAAACAUCUAAGUACCCCGAGGAAAAGAAAUCAACCGAGAUUCCCCCAGUAGCGGCGAGCGAACGGGGAGCAGCCCAGAGCCUGAAUCAGUGUGUGUGUUAGUGGAAGCGUCUGGAAAGGCGCGCGAUACAGGGUGACAGCCCCGUACACAAAAAUGCACAUGCUGUGAGCUCGAUGAGUAGGGCGGGACACGUGGUAUCCUGUCUGAAUAUGGGGGGACCAUCCUCCAAGGCUAAAUACUCCUGACUGACCGAUAGUGAACCAGUACCGUGAGGGAAAGGCGAAAAGAACCCCGGCGAGGGGAGUGAAAAAGAACCUGAAACCGUGUACGUACAAGCAGUGGGAGCACGCUUAGGCGUGUGACUGCGUACCUUUUGUAUAAUGGGUCAGCGACUUAUAUUCUGUAGCAAGGUUAACCGAAUAGGGGAGCCGAAGGGAAACCGAGUCUUAACUGGGCGUUAAGUUGCAGGGUAUAGACCCGAAACCCGGUGAUCUAGCCAUGGGCAGGUUGAAGGUUGGGUAACACUAACUGGAGGACCGAACCGACUAAUGUUGAAAAAUUAGCGGAUGACUUGUGGCUGGGGGUGAAAGGCCAAUCAAACCGGGAGAUAGCUGGUUCUCCCCGAAAGCUAUUUAGGUAGCGCCUCGUGAAUUCAUCUCCGGGGGUAGAGCACUGUUUCGGCAAGGGGGUCAUCCCGACUUACCAACCCGAUGCAAACUGCGAAUACCGGAGAAUGUUAUCACGGGAGACACACGGCGGGUGCUAACGUCCGUCGUGAAGAGGGAAACAACCCAGACCGCCAGCUAAGGUCCCAAAGUCAUGGUUAAGUGGGAAACGAUGUGGGAAGGCCCAGACAGCCAGGAUGUUGGCUUAGAAGCAGCCAUCAUUUAAAGAAAGCGUAAUAGCUCACUGGUCGAGUCGGCCUGCGCGGAAGAUGUAACGGGGCUAAACCAUGCACCGAAGCUGCGGCAGCGACGCUGAUGCGUUGUUGGGUAGGGGAGCGUUCUGUAAGCCUGCGAAGGUGUGCUGUGAGGCAUGCUGGAGGUAUCAGAAGUGCGAAUGCUGACAUAAGUAACGAUAAAGCGGGUGAAAAGCCCGCUCGCCGGAAGACCAAGGGUUCCUGUCCAACGUUAAUCGGGGCAGGGUGAGUCGACCCCUAAGGCGAGGCCGAAAGGCGUAGUCGAUGGGAAACAGGUUAAUAUUCCUGUACUUGGUGUUACUGCGAAGGGGGGACGGAGAAGGCUAUGUUGGCCGGGCGACGGUUGUCCCGGUUUAAGCGUGUAGGCUGGUUUUCCAGGCAAAUCCGGAAAAUCAAGGCUGAGGCGUGAUGACGAGGCACUACGGUGCUGAAGCAACAAAUGCCCUGCUUCCAGGAAAAGCCUCUAAGCAUCAGGUAACAUCAAAUCGUACCCCAAACCGACACAGGUGGUCAGGUAGAGAAUACCAAGGCGCUUGAGAGAACUCGGGUGAAGGAACUAGGCAAAAUGGUGCCGUAACUUCGGGAGAAGGCACGCUGAUAUGUAGGUGAAGUCCCUCGCGGAUGGAGCUGAAAUCAGUCGAAGAUACCAGCUGGCUGCAACUGUUUAUUAAAAACACAGCACUGUGCAAACACGAAAGUGGACGUAUACGGUGUGACGCCUGCCCGGUGCCGGAAGGUUAAUUGAUGGGGUUAGCGCAAGCGAAGCUCUUGAUCGAAGCCCCGGUAAACGGCGGCCGUAACUAUAACGGUCCUAAGGUAGCGAAAUUCCUUGUCGGGUAAGUUCCGACCUGCACGAAUGGCGUAAUGAUGGCCAGGCUGUCUCCACCCGAGACUCAGUGAAAUUGAACUCGCUGUGAAGAUGCAGUGUACCCGCGGCAAGACGGAAAGACCCCGUGAACCUUUACUAUAGCUUGACACUGAACAUUGAGCCUUGAUGUGUAGGAUAGGUGGGAGGCUUAGAAGUGUGGACGCCAGUCUGCAUGGAGCCGACCUUGAAAUACCACCCUUUAAUGUUUGAUGUUCUAACGUUGACCCGUGAUCCGGGUUGCGGACAGUGUCUGGUGGGUAGUUUGACUGGGGCGGUCUCCUCCUAAAGAGUAACGGAGGAGCACGAAGGUUGGCUAAUCCUGGUCGGACAUCAGGAGGUUAGUGCAAUGGCAUAAGCCAGCUUGACUGCGAGCGUGACGGCGCGAGCAGGUGCGAAAGCAGGUCAUAGUGAUCCGGUGGUUCUGAAUGGAAGGGCCAUCGCUCAACGGAUAAAAGGUACUCCGGGGAUAACAGGCUGAUACCGCCCAAGAGUUCAUAUCGACGGCGGUGUUUGGCACCUCGAUGUCGGCUCAUCACAUCCUGGGGCUGAAGUAGGUCCCAAGGGUAUGGCUGUUCGCCAUUUAAAGUGGUACGCGAGCUGGGUUUAGAACGUCGUGAGACAGUUCGGUCCCUAUCUGCCGUGGGCGCUGGAGAACUGAGGGGGGCUGCUCCUAGUACGAGAGGACCGGAGUGGACGCAUCACUGGUGUUCGGGUUGUCAUGCCAAUGGCACUGCCCGGUAGCUAAAUGCGGAAGAGAUAAGUGCUGAAAGCAUCUAAGCACGAAACUUGCCCCGAGAUGAGUUCUCCCUGACUCCUUGAGAGUCCUGAAGGAACGUUGAAGACGACGACGUUGAUAGGCCGGGUGUGUAAGCGCAGCGAUGCGUUGAGCUAACCGGUACUAAUGAACCGUGAGGCUUAACCU